CCUGACCUUGGCCGCGGCCGGGCCCUCGCCCCCGUUGAGGGAGCGAGGGAGUCCGACGACGACUUCGAGGGGUUCGUACUCCUCGACCAGUU
rnacentral:tRNA from 2 species